CCUACGGUGGGCUGCAGUGGGGAAUAUUGCACAAUGGGCGCAAGCCUGAUGCAGCCAUGCCGCGUGUGUGAAGAAGGCCUUCGGGUUGUAAAGCACUUUCAGCGGGGAGGAAGGCGUUAAGGUUAAUAACCUUGGCGAUUGACGUUACCCGCAGAAGAAGCCCCGGCUAACUCCGUGCCAGCAGCCGCGGUAAUACGGAGGGUGCAAGCGUUAAUCGGAAUUACUGGGCGUAAAGCGCACGCAGGCGGUCUGUCAAGUCGGAUGUGAAAUCCCCGGGCUCAACCUGGGAACUGCAUUCGAAACUGGCAGGCUAGAGUCUUGUAGAGGGGGGUAGAAUUCCAGGUGUAGCGGUGAAAUGCGUAGAGAUCUGGAGGAAUACCGGUGGCGAAGGCGGCCCCCUGGACAAAGACUGACGCUCAGGUGCGAAAGCGUGGGGAGCUAACAGGAUUAGAUACCCGUGUAGUC
rnacentral:rRNA from 1 species